rnacentral:lncRNA from 1 species
GCAUAAUUUCACACGGCCAUAGCCGCAUGUUGACACAGAAUUUAAAUGUGAUUAUUUUUACGGCCCAUUCAAACAAAUUGGGGGGUAUAUGCGUUCGCCUGGAAUGUUUGUCUACACUGAAGGAUGUCUAAUAAAACAAAAGCAAACAAAAGCGAGGAGGUCCGUGCGAGACGCUUUGUUAGCGUCACAACUUUUAUACCCGGUCUCAAUCAGCAUAAAAAUAUUUACAUAUGUAUGCAUGUACAUACAUACAUUCAUAUUGCGAGGGAACGUGUCCCUCACAGGCUGUAGAGGGUUAAAGCCACGGGCUCGGAUAUCCGAACACGGCGAAUUUGGAAGAGGUGCUCAGAGAGCGGGGAGCCCAAGAUGGCGGAGAAGAAGAGAGUGGAAGGAUGGGAUCGGGCCGGCAGCGGACGAACGCAUGACCAAAUAUGGCCAUUUGGGAAGAGACGCCCAGAGAGCGGGGAGCCCGAAAUGGCGGCGCAGAGAAGAGGGGAAGGAUGGGAUCGGGCCGGCAGCGGACCAACGCAUGCCCAAAUAUGGCCAUGGGAUCGGGGUCCAGUUACGAAGAAGGGAGAAAGCAUCAGAAUCGCCGAUGGAAAAACACUGACCGCGUGGGAGAACCGUUAGCCGGCGCCUAUAUAAGGAGGGUGGCCGCCAAGGCAGGAGAGCUUCACGCGUGAGCAGCCCAAGAGCUAGGUCGAGUGUUCGGGUGAAUAAGUGAAUCGAAGUGCAUAAUAGCGGAGAUCGUAACGGGACCCGCGACAUCGAAUGCCCAGAGUGAGUCUUGCAUAAUCAGAGUGAACAACAGACUUUCGGACGAGCUUAAGGUAGAGAAAGGCGAACCGUUAAAGUGCGGAAUUGGUGUGGCGGAUUAAGAUCAAUUGCCCCAGUUCAGCGGCACCAACGUGCAACGCCCGGAGCCAACCGUCCGAAAUCGAAAGGUCACAAGAAAGC